AGCGUUGUAGCUCAAUGGAAGAGCAACCCAUUUUUAUUUAGGGAAGGCCAUGAGUUCAAUUCUCAUCAACGGUA
rnacentral:tRNA from 5 species